rnacentral:rRNA from 1 species
AUGGCGGGUCACCGCCUGACCCUGCUGCUCGUUGCGGUGGCCGCCGCGUUCUUGGCAGGCGCGAGCGGCCGCCACGCGAGCGACUCGGCGCGGUUCCCCCUGCUCCGCCUCGCCGCGCCGGUGUCCCUCGCCGACCUGGCGCGCAGCGACCGGCAGCGGAUGGCGUUCAUCGCCUCGCACGGGCGGCGGCGCACGCGGGAGACCGCGGCGGGCUCGUCGUCGGCCUCUUCGGCUGCCGCGGCCUUCGCGAUGCCGCUCACCUCCGGCGCGUACACGGGCAUUGGGCAGUACUUCGUGCGCUUCCGCGUGGGCACCCCGGCGCAGCCGUUCCUGCUGGUGGCCGACACCGGCAGCGACCUGACCUGGGUCAAGUGCCGCCGCCCCGCCUCGGCCAACUCCUCGCUCUCGCCGGCCGACUCGGGGCCGGGGCCGGGGCGCGCGUUCCGCCCCGAGGAUUCCAGGACAUGGGCGCCCAUCUCGUGCGCGUCGGACACCUGCACCAAGUCGCUCCCCUUCUCCCUCGCCACCUGCCCCACGCCCGGCAGCCCCUGCGCCUACGACUACCGGUACAAGGAUGGGUCGGCGGCGCGCGGCACGGUGGGCACGGAGUCGGCGACCAUCGCGCUGUCCGGGCGGGAGGAGCGGAAGGCCAAGCUCAAGGGCCUCGUGCUCGGCUGCAGCAGCUCCUACACCGGGCCCAGCUUCGAGGCCUCCGACGGCGUGCUCAGCCUCGGCUACAGCGGCAUCUCCUUCGCCUCCCACGCCGCCUCCCGCUUCGGCGGCCGCUUCUCCUACUGCCUCGUCGACCACCUCUCCCCGCGCAACGCCACCAGCUACCUCACCUUCGGCCCCAACCCCGCCGUCUCCUCCCCCCGCGCCUCCCCCUCCUCCUGCGCCGCGGCCGCUCCCCGCGCGCGACAGACGCCGCUGCUGCUCGACCGCCGGAUGCGCCCCUUCUACGACGUCAGCCUCAAGGCCAUCUCCGUCGCCGGGGAGUUCCUCAAGAUACCGCGCGCCGUCUGGGACGUCGAGGCCGGCGGCGGCGUCAUCCUCGACUCCGGCACCAGCCUCACGGUGCUGGCCAAGCCGGCCUACCGCGCCGUGGUGGCCGCGCUCAGCAAGGGGCUCGCCGGGCUGCCGCGGGUCACCAUGGACCCGUUCGAGUACUGCUACAACUGGACGUCGCCGUCGGGCAAGGACGCCGACGUCGCCGUGCCGAAGAUGGCCGUGCACUUCGCCGGGGCGGCGCGGCUGGAGCCCCCGGGGAAGAGCUACGUGAUCGACGCGGCGCCCGGCGUCAAGUGCAUCGGCCUGCAGGAGGGCCCCUGGCCCGGGAUCUCCGUCAUCGGGAACAUCCUGCAGCAGGAGCACCUGUGGGAGUUCGACAUCAAGAACCGACGACUAAAAUUCCAGCGGUCGCGGUGCACGCACUGA